UAUUUUCCUUUUUUUCCCUCAGCCGCGGUAAUACGGAAGGUCCGGGCGUUAUCCGGAUUUAUUGGGUUUAAAGGGAGCGUAGGCCGUGAGGUAAGCGUGUUGUGAAAUGUAGGCGCCCAACGUCUGCACUGCAGCGCGAACUGCCCCACUUGAGUGCGCGCAACGCCGGCGGAACUCGUCGUGUAGCGGUGAAAUGCUUAGAUAUGACGAAGAACCCCGAUUGCGAAGGCAGCUGGCGGGAGCGUAACUGACGCUGAAGCUCGAAAGCGCGGGUAUCGAACAGG
rnacentral:rRNA from 1 species